AUCUUUGCGCUUGGGGCAAUGACGCAGCUAGUGAGGUUCUAACCGAGGCGCGUCUAUUGCUGGUUGAAAACUAUUUCCAACCCCCCUCAUAGGCCUGGGUUAAGCCCAGGCCUUUGAGAAUUUCUGGAAGGGCUCCCUUAUUGGGUAAAGCC